rnacentral:rRNA from 1 species
UACGUAGGGUGCAAGCGUUAAUCGGAAUUACUGGGCGUAAAGCGUGCGCAGGCGGUUUUGUAAGACAGGCGUGAAAUCCCCGGGCUCAACCUGGGAAUGGCGCUUGUGACUGCAAAGCUGGAGUGCGGCAGAGGGGGAUGGAAUUCCGCGUGUAGCAGUGAAAUGCGUAGAUAUGCGGAGGAACACCAAUGGCGAAGGCAAUCCCCUGGGCCUGCACUGACGCUCAUGCACGAAAGCGUGGGGAGCAAACAGGAUUAGAAACCCGUGUAGU